rnacentral:rRNA from 1 species
GAUGAACGCUGGCGGCGUGCCUAAUACAUGCAAGUCGAGCGAACGGACGAGAAGCUUGCUUCUCUGAUGUUAGCGGCGGACGGGUGAGUAACACGUGGAUAACCUACCUAUAAGACUGGGAUAACUUCGGGAAACCGGAGCUAAUACCGGAUAAUAUUCUGAACCGCAUGGUUCAAAAGUGAAAGACGGUCUUGCUGUAACUUAUAGAUGGAUCCGCGCUGCAUUAGCUAGUUGGUAAGGUAACGGCUUACCAAGGCAACGAUGCAUAGCCGACCUGAGAGGGUGAUCGGCCACACUGGAACUGAGACACGGUCCAGACUCCUACGGGAGGCAGCAGUAGGGAAUCUUCCGCAAAGGGCGAAAGCCUGACGGAGCAACGCCGCGUGAGUGAUGAAGGUCUUCGGAUCGUAAAACUCUGUUAUUAGGGAAGAACAUAUGUGUAAGUAACUGUGCACAUCUUGACGGUACCUAAUCAGAAAGCCACGGCUAACUACGUG